rnacentral:lncRNA from 1 species
GGCCCCACCCACCCCGCGGCGGCAGCAGCGGCAGCUCCGGAGCUGCAGGUGGCGCCGUGUGCCCCGAUCCCAGAACUGGGCGGGCCCUGCCGGCUCCGCGCUCUGAGGGUGCCGGGCGGGACUGCCGCGGCGCGUCCCCGGAGCUCUGGCUGCCUGAGCCGGGAGAGCGAGUGCUAGGCGGCCCGGCGGAGCGGGGCCCGGCAUGGGGCUCUGCCUGCCCUGCUUGGGGGGAGCCGCCGAGGACGUGGUGGAGACGCCCGACCCGGAAAUUAAAAGAAGACAACUUGCAGAAGCCGCAGAAAAGAGGCAGAUGGAGGCCACCUCUCGGGGUGUUAAGAACCCAUAUUCUGUGGAGCAAAAGAAAAAGAAACAGGAGGAAAUGGAGAAACAAAUUGCAUCUUCAAGCUCUGGAGGAGGAGGAGGCGGACUUAGAUGGCAGGUUGGAUAAAGAAGUGUGGCAUCUGAAAAGAAGAGGAUCAAAUACUGCCAAUAACUUGCCAGUUUCUGCAGCUGAGUGGCACUUAUUCAUUGUGUGGCUUUUGCUGUUUGCAUAUGAAGAUUCAACAGUACUUUGCCAUUGCAGUACAACAGAGGUGUAUGCUAAGAAUAUUUUUCACACAAAAGUCUCAGAAUGCAAAACAAAGGUGGCCAAAACUUGUCAUUUUUUAAACUUCUCAUGCUUCAACUUUUGGGUCGGGUGGAGAGUGGGAGAUGCACAGUUAUUUGGGAAUGAACUUAGUAUUUAAUGGUGAUAAAGUGACUAUAUUAUAUUUCUGCUCUUGAAACUAACUUAUGCACAGCUUGGGUAACUUUUAGUGUGUGGGUUUUUCUUUUUGUUUUAGCAUUUAUUUAAAGUUUUGUUGAACUUUGCCUCUUUGUAAAAAAAAAAAAAAAGAAGUUAUCUUCUCUAGAUACUUGUGCUGCUAUCCAUCUCUUCUGUGCUAAUUAUUGGUUAAUUACCUGUGAAUUUAGUGCCUUUAAAAGGCUUUUGGAAAAGCUUGGCUUCUGCAAAUUGAAAUUUUGUGAAAUGUGCUGUAAAAAAAAAAUCACUUUAAAUUAUAAUUGCUUUACAUGCUUUUAUUGAGGUAAAUAUUUUGUGGUCUUAUGCCCAUUCUCUUUUCAUUGAUUCGCCAAUUAUGGAUUUCUUUUGAGUACAUAAUUAUAUUAUAAUAUGUACUGGAAGUUAAUGCUAUUAGCUAAACUAAACAUUGUUGGCUAUUUUGUUUUUUUGCACCACAAGGGGGCAGUGUUGUACUUCUGGAAAUAUAUUAAAAAAUAGAAAAGGAAAAGACCUAUUAGGUCAUCUCUUGGAUAGUUUAUUUCCUGAAAGCUUCUGUACUACCUGGGUGGCUUAACUAUAUAUAGUACAAUAAUAUUUGCCAAGUGCUAGAAGCACUUUUACUGCUCUUUUGUAUCAAGGAAUGUCUGUAAUCCUUUUCCAAAUGUGAAACUGCUUUUGAUUAUUUACAGCUAACUAAACUGGUGUAUUAUGAACUGAUUCCAAAACUAGAAGUGACCUCAGAACACUACUGAGUAGAUGAGGGAAUUUAGAAGUGAUCCUGUUCCAGUAAAAAUACAACUUUUAUUUUCCCUGGAGGGCACUAUGUUUGGCCUAUUAUUGUCCUAGUGACUCCAUUUUUGACGCAGGUUGGACUGUGGAAGUGUUACUUGGAUUAAAUACACUAUCUUUUCCCCUUGAAUCCAAAACUAUCAUCUUAAGUCCACUUUCUUGAAAGAACUAGCUUC